UUGGGCGUGAGCCCUUCAGUGAAGUAAGCGGGACUACAAAAGUUAGUACUGACGAACAGGAAUCGGAUAUGAGGCUAUGAGGUUGGGUGAGCAGGCACAGGGCGGAGCGUUAAGAAAUAGUCCGGUGGACUAUUUUAGUGACGAGCCAGGUUGCAGGGCGGGCAAAGUCCCGUGCAAAGGCGGAAGUAGUAGAUCCGGCAGGAAUUAACUGAGAGCUACUUGU
rfam:Marine metagenome 1092351154805, whole genome shotgun sequence.